rnacentral:rRNA from 1 species
UACGGAGGGGGCUAGCGUUGUUCGGAAUUACUGGGCGUAAAGCGCACGUAGGCGGCGAUUUAAGUCAGAGGUGAAAGCCCGGGGCUCAACCCCCGGAACUGCCUUUGAGACUGGAUUGCUAGAAUCUUGGAGAGGCGGGUGGAAUUCCGAGUGUAGAGGUGAAAUUCGUAGAUAUUCGGAAGAACACCAGUGGCGAAGGCGGCCUCUGGAC